UACGUAGGGUGCAAGCGUUGUCCGGAAUUAUUGGGCGUAAAGAGCUCGUAGGCGGCUUGUCGCGUCGGAUGUGAAAACCCGGGGCUCAACCCCGGGCGUGCAUUCGAUACUGCGCGGCUCGAGACAGGUAGGGGAGAUCGGAAUUCCUGGUGUAGCGGUGAAAUGCGCAGAUAUCAGGAGGAACACCGGUGGCGAAGGCGGAUCUCUGGGCCUGUUCUGACGCUGAGGCGCGAAAGCUAGGGGAGCGAACAGG
rnacentral:rRNA from 1 species